rnacentral:misc_RNA from 1 species
GAAAUGCGAAAAGCAAUGCGAAUUGCAGAAUUCCGCGAGUCAUCAGAUUUUGAACGCAAGUUGCGCCGAUCGGAUAUCCGGUUGGCAUGCUUGUUUCAGUGUCUUAUUUUUGCAUACCUCAAUGUGAUUGAUAAUAUGUAACAAUAUUAUCUCUCAUGAAAUGAGAAUGUGCGUGUACUCCAACACAACGAAGUAGUCACAUAUCUUAUGUGAUCUCGUUGAUAGUUUGGUAUACAUAACAAUGAGCACAUAGAGCAAAAAUCACUCAACAAAAAGUAUCUGAAAUCAAGCAAGAUUACCCGCUGAACUUAAGC